rnacentral:rRNA from 1 species
CCUACGGGUGGCAGCAGUGAGGAAUAUUGGUCAAUGGACGAGAGUCUGAACCAGUCAAGUAGCGUGAAGGAUGACUGCCCUAUGGGUUGUAAACUUCUUUUAUAUGGGAAUAAAAUGUUCCACGUGUGGGAUUUUGUAUGUACCAUAUGAAUAAGGAUCGGCUAACUCCGUGCCAGCAGCCGCGGUAAUACGGAGGAUCCGAGCGUUAUCCGGAUUUAUUGGGUUUAAAGGGAGCGUAGGUGGAUUGUUAAGUCAGUUGUGAAAGUUUGCGGCUCAACCGUAAAAUUGCAGUUGAAACUGGCAGUCUUGAGUACAGUAGAGGUGUGCGGAAUUCGUGGUGUAGCGGUGAAAUGCUUAGAUAUCACGAAGAACUCCGAUUGCGAAGGCAGUUCACUGGACUGCAACUGACACUGAGGCUCGAAAGUGUGGGUAUCAAACAGGAUUAGAUACCCUUGUAGUC